UAAAAGACUAUUUCUAUCUGUGGGUUUACACCAUGUGAUACCAUGUGAUUAACCAGUAACUCAACUGUUUGGCAUUUACAAAAUAUUUCUUGUGGUGUUUAUCUUCAGGAACAUAUUAGCCUUGUUAGAUUUGUUGGCCAGUCCUGUUGGUAUGCUUAUCUAAGGCGGCCAUCUUGUUUCACUCAAGACCAAACAUGUCAGAUCAUGCAGUGAGUCAUCAUACACCUCAUAACCCCCACACACACACCACCACCUCCACAUACCUAUCUAAAGUGACUCAUAUUUAGGUGGGUUUGCUUUUUCCUUUGUCAUCGCCGUUUGCCCUGUUGGGAGAUAACCACUUUCCCCCUUCACCUGGACGGCUUCCUCUCCCAUUUCCAAGAAGAGUCGCAACUGGAAAUCUUUUCUGAGAUCUGCUGCUUUACCACAGUUGGCUUCCUGCUUGUCUGGUCUUGCCCUGUUGUGUUUAUCUGGAUCCCUGUCCUGCCAUGGCCAUGUCAGCCUCCACCACUGCCCCUGUCCAGAGAGCGGGUCGGUUCUGGAACGUUGAGCAGCCGACCUGUGGGGGCCUCCAGUGUCACGGAAAUGGGAAGUGCGUGAACCACGGUGUAGCCACAGUCUGUGAGUGUCGCUUAGGCUAUACGGGGGAGUUCUGCCGGGACACGGUGAACGAGGCCCUCUCAAUCCCGCUCUCGCUGGGGGUCCUGGGCUGCAUCAUUGGGGUCGUCCUCCUUGCCUUCCUCUUUGCCAAACUCCGGCAGAAGAGAAAUGCACAGAUCAGGAAAGCCACUGAUGAAGCAAAGGAGAGACUGAAGCUGGAGGGAGAGUGGGCCUGAGACCACAUCUUUAAAAAUGCCAUAUCGACUCAGAACAAACUAGCUCAUGUAUGGCCAUGAUACAGAAAAGGGUCAUAUAGUAAUUAACACUUGGGAGUCCAAGGCCUGUUAGACUUUUUUAGAGAACUUUUUACAGAAGGUAUGGUUUGGAUGUAUUUUUUUGUAAAUGUUAAAUUUCUUUGUACCUCCUUUAGAGUGAAAGUAGGUGUUUUGUUUCAAAUGUAUUUUAAAUACAAAUGGAGGUUUUGUUGUUUUCUCACACAAUUUGCAACUUUUUAAAAAUGUAAUUACAUGCAUCUUUUGUAACUGCCCUCUGCUCAAGAAACAAAUGACUGAAGUGACUCAUGAUCAAAUCCUUUAAAGAAGCAAUUGUCACUUGAUUUUUAACUCAACUUCAAAGUAACGAUUGCACAUGGUUUCAGGAAAAAUUACAGGAAUGUUUUUCUCCACACCCAAGCAUCUGUGUUUUUUAUAAACAACUCCGACCGGUCUAGUUGAAUGUACCACUGCUUCUUUGUGUUGUUUAAAAGUUUAGUGGUCAUAUGCAAUGUGCCUUUGUUUCAGUACAAUGCAAUGCAAAUCCAUUGAUGUUUUUCAAAUCUGAAAAGUAAAAGUACUCAUUUCUUCUACUUUCAUUUCAUUAGACUUUGUGUCACCGUAACAGGUCCCUCAGAUUUAAGACAUCAAGGAUUAGCACAGAAAUCAAGCUGCUUCUUUUUAUUCUUUGCACUGCCAUCUAAUAUUAAUUUCACAAAAAAUUACAUGAUGUGUAAUGUAUGUAUAGUAUUAAGCUUUUGUAUUUAACCUGU
ensembl:lncRNA